rnacentral:rRNA from 1 species
GUCUAUGGCCAUGCUACCCUGAACAAGCCCGAUCCCAUCUGAUCUCGGAAGCUAAGUGGGGUUGGGCCUGGUUAGUACUUAGAUGGGAGACCACCUAGGAAGACCAGAUGCUGUAGGUG